CUUAUGACGCUCACACACCCAUUAGAAGACUGGGCUUCUAAUAAUAUAAUGCCCAUUAGAAAGAUAAGUCCAUUAAGAAUGUUUAUAUAUUCUCCCUCGUUCGCAUUUCCAAGUCAGCCCAUAUAUAUUGCUGGAUUUUCUUUAACGCAUACAGUAAGAAAUAAAUUAGUCUCUGUCAAUUUACCCAAUCAUUGGGUGAAUUGUCUUUUUGCAGGUCAGUCAGUAGGCAGGAAUCAAAAGAAUGAGAAAUCAUCUACAAGUCAUUUUGUGUUUACUUUGCGGAUUCCAGGUGUUAAUUAGAGAACUGAACUACAGGUGCAAGGUGUUCUCAACCUAAUCGAUCUUGCUGGAAGCGAGAGGCUAUCAGAGAGUGGGGGAACCGGAAAGCAACUGAAGGAGACACAUGUUUCUUGUUGUUUCAAACAUAGUCUUUCCAAGCUAUUGGCUUCAACAUUAUAUUUCUUGUAGACCGUGAAUGAAUUCCACACUAGAAUGAUAAAAUUUCACUAUGGUAUUUAGCCAUUGAA